rnacentral:rRNA from 1 species
GGGUUGUGAGGUUAAGCGACUAAGCGUACACGGUGGAUGCCCUGGCAGUCAGAGGCGAUGAAGGACGUGCUAAUCUGCGAUAAGCGUCGGUAAGGUGAUAUGAACCGUUAUAACCGGCGAUUUCCGAAUGGGGAAACCCAGUGUGAUUCGUCACACUAUCAUUAACUGAAUCCAUAGGUUAAUGAGGCGAACCGGGGGAACUGAAACAUCUAAGUACCCCGAGGAAAAGAAAUCAACCGAGAUUCCCCCAGUAGCGGCGAGCGAACGGGGAGCAGCCCAGAGCCUGAAUCAGUGUGUGUGUUAGUGGAAGCGUCUGGAAAGGCGCGCGAUACAGGGUGACAGCCCCGUACACAAAAAUGCACAUACUGUGAGCUCGAUGAGUAGGGCGGGACACGUGGUAUCCUGUCUGAAUAUGGGGGGACCAUCCUCCAAGGCUAAAUACUCCUGACUGACCGAUAGUGAACCAGUACCGUGAGGGAAAGGCGAAAAGAACCCCGGUGAGGGGAGUGAAAAAGAACCUGAAACCGUGUACGUACAAGCAGUGGGAGCCUCUUUAUGGGGUGACUGCGUACCUUUUGUAUAAUGGGUCAGCGACUUAUAUUCUGUAGCAAGGUUAACCGAAUAGGGGAGCCGAAGGGAAACCGAGUCUUAACUGGGCGUUAAGUUGCAGGGUAUAGACCCGAAACCCGGUGAUCUAGCCAUGGGCAGGUUGAAGGUUGGGUAACACUAACUGGAGGACCGAACCGACUAAUGUUGAAAAAUUAGCGGAUGACUUGUGGCUGGGGGUGAAAGGCCAAUCAAACCGGGAGAUAGCUGGUUCUCCCCGAAAGCUAUUUAGGUAGCGCCUCGUGAAUUCAUCUCCGGGGGUAGAGCACUGUUUCGGCAAGGGGGUCAUCCCGACUUACCAACCCGAUGCAAACUGCGAAUACCGGAGAAUGUUAUCACGGGAGACACACGGCGGGUGCUAACGUCCGUCGUGAAGAGGGAAACAACCCAGACCGCCAGCUAAGGUCCCAAAGUCAUGGUUAAGUGGGAAACGAUGUGGGAAGGCCCAGACAGCCAGGAUGUUGGCUUAGAAGCAGCCAUCAUUUAAAGAAAGCGUAAUAGCUCACUGGUCGAGUCGGCCUGCGCGGAAGAUGUAACGGGGCUAAACCAUGCACCGAAGCUGCGGCAGCGACACUAUGUGUUGUUGGGUAGGGGAGCGUUCUGUAAGCCUGCGAAGGUGUACUGUGAGGUAUGCUGGAGGUAUCAGAAGUGCGAAUGCUGACAUAAGUAACGAUAAAGCGGGUGAAAAGCCCGCUCGCCGGAAGACCAAGGGUUCCUGUCCAACGUUAAUCGGGGCAGGGUGAGUCGACCCCUAAGGCGAGGCCGAAAGGCGUAGUCGAUGGGAAACAGGUUAAUAUUCCUGUACUUGGUGUUACUGCGAAGGGGGGACGGAGAAGGCUAUGUUGGCCGGGCGACGGUUGUCCCGGUUUAAGCGUGUAGGCUGAUUUUCCAGGCAAAUCCGGAAAAUCAAGGCUGAGGCGUGAUGACGAGGCACUACGGUGCUGAAGCAACAAAUGCCCUGCUUCCAGGAAAAGCCUCUAAGCAUCAGGUAACAUCAAAUCGUACCCCAAACCGACACAGGUGGUCAGGUAGAGAAUACCAAGGCGCUUGAGAGAACUCGGGUGAAGGAACUAGGCAAAAUGGUGCCGUAACUUCGGGAGAAGGCACGCUGAUAUGUAGGUGAAGUCCCUCGCGGAUGGAGCUGAAAUCAGUCGAAGAUACCAGCUGGCUGCAACUGUUUAUUAAAAACACAGCACUGUGCAAACACGAAAGUGGACGUAUACGGUGUGACGCCUGCCCGGUGCCGGAAGGUUAAUUGAUGGGGUUAGCGGUAACGCGAAGCUCUUGAUCGAAGCCCCGGUAAACGGCGGCCGUAACUAUAACGGUCCUAAGGUAGCGAAAUUCCUUGUCGGGUAAGUUCCGACCUGCACGAAUGGCGUAAUGAUGGCCAGGCUGUCUCCACCCGAGACUCAGUGAAAUUGAACUCGCUGUGAAGAUGCAGUGUACCCGCGGCAAGACGGAAAGACCCCGUGAACCUUUACUAUAGCUUGACACUGAACAUUGAGCCUUGAUGUGUAGGAUAGGUGGGAGGCUUUGAAGUGUGGACGCCAGUCUGCAUGGAGCCGGCCUUGAAAUACCACCCUUUAAUGUUUGAUGUUCUAACGUUGGCCCCUGAUCGGGGUUGCGGACAGUGUCUGGUGGGUAGUUUGACUGGGGCGGUCUCCUCCUAAAGAGUAACGGAGGAGCACGAAGGUUGGCUAAUCCUGGUCGGACAUCAGGAGGUUAGUGCAAUGGCAUAAGCCAGCUUGACUGCGAGCGUGACGGCGCGAGCAGGUGCGAAAGCAGGUCAUAGUGAUCCGGUGGUUCUGAAUGGAAGGGCCAUCGCUCAACGGAUAAAAGGUACUCCGGGGAUAACAGGCUGAUACCGCCCAAGAGUUCAUAUCGACGGCGGUGUUUGGCACCUCGAUGUCGGCUCAUCACAUCCUGGGGCUGAAGUAGGUCCCAAGGGUAUGGCUGUUCGCCAUUUAAAGUGGUACGCGAGCUGGGUUUAGAACGUCGUGAGACAGUUCGGUCCCUAUCUGCCGUGGGCGCUGGAGAACUGAGGGGGCUGCUCCUAGUACGAGAGGACCGGAGUGGACGCAUCACUGGUGUUCGGGUUGUCAUGCCAAUGGCACUGCCCGGUAGCUAAAUGCGGAAGAGAUAAGUGCUGAAAGCAUCUAAGCACGAAACUUGCCCCGAGAUGAGUUCUCCCUGACUCCUUGAGAGUCCUGAAGGAACGUUGAAGACGACGACGUUGAUAGGCCGGGUGUGUAAGCGCAGCGAUGCGUUGAGCUAACCGGUACUAAUGAACCGUGAGGCUUAACCUUACAACGCCGAAG